rnacentral:rRNA from 1 species
UGCAGUCGAACGGCAGCACGGGAGCAAUCCUGGUGGCGAGUGGCGAACGGGUGAGUAAUAUAUCGGAACGUGCCCAGUCGUGGGGGAUAACGCAGCGAAAGCUGUGCUAAUACCGCAUACGAUCUAUGGAUGAAAGCGGGGGACCGUAAGGCCUCGCGCGAUUGGAGCGGCCGAUAUCAGAUUAGCUUGUUGGUGGGGUAAAAGCCCACCAAGGCGACGAUCUGUAGCUGGUCUGAGAGGACGACCAGCCACACUGGAACUGAGACACGGUCCAGACUCCUACGGGAGGCAGCAGUGGGGAAUUUUGGACAAUGGGCGCAAGCCUGAUCCAGCAAUGCCGCGUGCAGGAUGAAGGCCUUCGGGUUGUAAACUGCUUUUGUACGGAACGAAACGGCUCUUUCUAAUAAAGAGGGCUAAUGACGGUACCGUAAGAAUAAGCACCGGCUAACUACGUGCCAGCAGCCGCGGUUAUACGUAGGGUGCGAGCGUUAAUCGGAAUUACUGGGCGUAAAGCGUGCGCAGGCGGUUAUAUAAGACAGAUGUGAAAUCCCCGGGCUCAACCUGGGACCUGCAUUUGUGACUGUAUAGCUAGAGUACGGUAGAGGGGGAUGGAAUUCCGCGUGUAGCAGUGAAAUGCGUAGAUAUGCGGAGGAACACCGAUGGCGAAAGGCAAUCCCCUGGACCUGUACUGACGCUCAUGCACGAAAGCGUGGGGAGCAAACAGGAUUAGAUACCCUGGUAGUCCACGCCCUAAACGAUGUCAACUGGGUUGUUGGGUCUUCACUGACUCAGUAACGAAGCUACGCGUGAANUGACCGCCUGGG